UACGGAGGAUGCGAGCGUUAUCCGGAUUUAUUGGGUUUAAAGGGUGCGUAGGCGGACUGUCAAGUCAGUGGUAAAAUUGAGAGGCUCAACCUCUUCCCGCCGUUGAAACUGGUGGUCUUGAGUGGAUGAGAAGUACGCGGAAUGCGUGGUGUAGCGGUGAAAUGCAUAGAUAUCACGCAGAACUCCGAUUGCGAAGGCAGCGUACCGGCAUCCAACUGACGCUGAGGCACGAAAGCGUGGGGAUCAAACAGG
rnacentral:rRNA from 1 species